rnacentral:rRNA from 1 species
GAUGAUGACGUAAGUCCAAAGAUUUAUCGCCUGAGGAUGAGCCCGCGUAGGAUUAGCUAGUUGGUGUGGUAAGAGCGCACCAAGGCGACGAUCCUUAGCUGGUCUGAGAGGAUGAUCAGCCACACUGGGACUGAGACACGGCCCAGACUCCUACGGGAGGCAGCAGUGGGGAAUAUUGGACAAUGGGCGAAAGCCUGAUCCAGCAAUGCCGCGUGAGUGAUGAAGGCCUUAGGGUUGUAAAGCUCUUUUACCCGGGAUGAUAAUGACAGUACCGGGAGAAUAAGCUCCGGCUAACUCCGUGCCAGCAGCCGCGGUAAUACGGAGGGAGCUAGCGUUGUUCGGAAUUACUGGGCGUAAAGCGCACGUAGGCGGCUUUGUAAGUUAGAGGUGAAAGCCUGGAGCUCAACUCCAGAAUUGCCUUUAAGACUGCAUCGCUUGAAUCCAGGAGAGGUGAGUGG